GACGAACCGUGCAAACGUUGUUCGGAAUCACUGGGCUUAAAGGGCGCGUAGGCGGUCUGCCAAGUCGGGGUUGAAAUCUUUCGGCUUAACCGGAAAAGUGGCUUCGAUACUGGUAGACUGGAGGGAGGCAGGGGCGGAUGGAACUUCCGGUGGAGCGGUGAAAUGUGUUGAUAUCGGAAGGAACGCCAGUGGCGAAAGCGAUCCGCUGGACCUCUACUGACGCUGAGGCGCGAAAGCCAGGGGAGCAAACGGG
rnacentral:rRNA from 1 species